rnacentral:misc_RNA from 1 species
GUAGGUGAACCUGCGGAAGGAUCAUUAUCGAGAUAGGGCCUCCGGGCCCGACCUCCAACCCCAUAUCUACCUUCCCAUGUUGCCUCGGCGGGUCGCCGGCCCCCUGUAAAAAAGGGGGCCCGGCCGUCGGCACUCGUGCUCUCGAGCGCCCGCCAGAGGACCGUACAAACCCUGCUCAUCGUAGACUUCUGAGUGAGAAACACAAUAACUUCAAAACUUUCAACAACGGAUCUCUUGGUUCUG